CCCCUUUUUCCAGAGUAUCACAAAAAAGAAUUACAGGCAUGACAUGUCGUGAUUUGCAUGACAAAAAGGUGCUUUUAAUAAGUACUGUUCUCACAAAGGAACACCAUCCAAGUAUCAUCAUGAGCACUGACUGAAUCCUUACUGCUGUUUUUUCCAAAUGUACCUAAGAUUUUAGGUGGAUAUUCCAAGGUACACUUCAGAUAAUGCUGCUGAACAAGAAAGAAGUAAAAACAACCACAUUUAUUCAAAAUUCAAAGAUCAUUUUGUCUUACAGGUGACUUACUGAAGCAGCGUGCCUUCCUAACGCUGGCUCCACCUCCUCACACUGGUUCAUCUACAGCAGUUGUUUAAGCUGUUGGAGGGAAUACAGUGAAAGACUGGAAUGACAGUGCAAAAUUCAAAAGUCUUUUAAACUCCCAGAGCUCUUCUUCGAUCCUCUCCUUUGGUCAUCUUCAUUUUGCAAAACACUAGCUUACUAAAUACAAUAGGGACACAUUGCAAAGCACAACCAGCAAGACAGUUGGGAGUAGCUGGGUUUUUUUUUUUGUUUGGUUGGUUUUGUUUUAAAUACAAAUGGUUCCUAAAAUCAUUUUUGUCAGAAAUAAGGCAGUGGGAAUUAGCUGAUAUCAUCCUCAGUAACACUCUGGAUCAUGUAUCUCAAUAAACAGCAGUAUCUUCAUAGAAUUAGUAUUCUGAGAUCAUUAAGUAUUAUGUAAUGUAAAUUACAUGAUAGAGUAAGCCAUGAGAUACUGUAAAAGCACACAGAAAAGCAGUGCCCCUCUUCUGAGUGCCUGGACUUACCUUAUGACUGCACAUGCACCACAUGCUUCUUUCAAAGGAUUCAUAACCCACUCUCAAACUAAACUGCUUGUUGUUCAUAUGACAGCAAAAUUCCAAAAGACAUUAAUUUAUGCUACUUAGGCCUAGUCUUAUUUUUGCUGACCUUCAACUUGUUAAAACGUACAGCUACUAUCUUAUGUUCCAGUGUAUCACCACCCUCUGUGUGAAAAACUUCCUCCUAAUGUCUAAUCUAAACCUCCCCUGUGUCAGUUUAAGACCAUUCCCCCUUGUCCUCUCACUAUCCACCCUUGUAAACAGUGAAACUGUUAAACUGAAUACACAAUUCAGUUCAGAAACCAGGUAUUUUUCUGUUCCCUCCCACUUUAUUUUCAGAUUAUCGUGAUUAAGCUUACACAGAAAUAAAAUGCAGUAAAUAUCAGAGCAACCGCAUAAAGCCAGCAAUGUUAAGACGUUCUGUGCAGGGUGGGAUGAUCUUUCGAGGUCCCUUCCAAUCCCUGACAUGCUGUGAUCCUGUGGAGACCUCAGUACAAACGCAUCGCUCCAGGAUGCCUGGAGGGACAGCACGGCAGCACUGAGCAGAUGUCCACCACCACUGCUGAGAAGGAUUCAGCCUGGGCCAUCCGCACCAAGCGCAGGUGGCUGCUGUUUCCAGGAGGAAGAUGCGUCCCUCACAAUGUGAGCACAUCUGCCAGCAGAGCAUUUGCCGGGGGAGCAGCACGCAGGUGACGCAAACAUCGCCAGAGAUGUUAUUUUUGUGUCAGCCCUCCCACUGCGUUAGUUCAGCGGCUCUCAGCGGCAUUCAGCACGGGAAAGGGGAAACAACGCUUUCCUAACGUUCACAUAGCAGGGGUCUUUUGCCAUGUUCAUAGAGCUGCCUUACAGAAUCUCUGCCGCUGUGUGACAGCCCCUGCUGCUGCCGUCUGCAGCCGGAGACAUCCUUUAGGAGGAAGUGGGAGUUUCUCUUAUGCAGGAGUGGCAGCACUGUGCUCUUAAAAUUGCUUGCCGUCUGGUGGCGAUAAAAGCACUGAGCUCUGUGGCUGAGUUCAAAGCUUUGCAUCAGUGGUUGGAGACAGCAGAAGGCAGGCUGCAGCCUGCAGCCACAGGGAGUCGUGCCCUGGAGAUGGGGACACAGCUCAUACCUCAUCGUCGUGGCCAGUGGGCAGUCAGCAGCUCAGCCUGGCCGCAUGGUCUCCAAAGCUGGGAAGGCAAACCGCAGCAAGCAGCUGGGCAAGCAGAAAAUACAACACAGCAAGGCUUCUUUUGACCUCCUUCUCACUCGCAUGCAAAGCUGCCUUUACCAGAAAAGUCCCUGGGACAGCGCUUCUUUGGCAGUAUUCUCUGAAUUCCUUGACAUACAACUGAAGUGCUGAGAAUACUAUAAUAGUCAUUCAUCACAGUACAAAAGAAGCCAAGUCCAAGUCGUUACAGAAUGUAUCCAGCAGCUGCACUGGUACUGUUUUCACAGGUACAACAAAAAUAUUUCUCGCUGAAAGACAGCAGCAUAGACUGACUAAUAUCAGGUGUGCAAAAUAAAAAAUAAUAAUAAAAAUAAUUAAAAAGAGUAUAACUUG
ensembl:lncRNA